GUUGAACGCUGGCGGCGUGCCUUAUACAUGCAAGUCGAGCGAACAGACGAGGAGCUUGCUCCUCUGACGUUAGCGGCGGACGGGGGAGUAACACGUGGAUAACCUACCUAUAAGACUGGGAUAACUUCGGGAAACCGGAGCUAAUACCGGAUAAUAUAUUGAACCGCAUGGUUCAAUAGUGAAAGACGGUUUUGCUGUCACUUAUAGAUGGAUCCGCGCCGCAUUAGCUAGUUGGUAAGGUAACGGCUUACCAAGGCAACGAUGCGUAGCCGACCUGAGAGGGUGAUCGGCCACACUGGAACUGAGACACGGUCCAGACUCCUACGGGAGGCAGCAGUAGGGAAUCUUCCGCAAUGGGCGAAAGCUUGACGGAGCAACGCCGCGUGAGUGAUGAAGGUCUUCGGAUCGUAAAACUCUGUUAUCAGGGAAGAACAAAUGUGUAAGUAACUCUGCACGUCUUGACGUUACCUAAUCAGAAAGCCCCGGCUAACUACGUG
rnacentral:rRNA from 1 species